UGAUAAACGUUUCGAACUUGAUUAUCUUUUGUUGAAUAUCAGGAUUCAUAAUCGAGCAGCCUGGAUAACAUAAAAAUGUCAUCGUGUCACAGUACAUAUGCAUUAACGACAUGAAACAAGCCACAAAACUCCAGGAGCUGCGCGUUCGACUUCAAAGAUUCUGUUCUGACCAACUUCACGUCUCUAUUUAAAAAUGGAAGAGGAGCACCGCGUGCGUAAUCGGAAUUGCGAUGCAAUAAAACCAAAUAUAAUAACUUUACGAGAUUACGAGACCGUAAUUGCCACGAUCUUAUAGCUGAUUGGACAUUCGUCCGUGAAUGUCCCAUCCGUAGACAAGUGAACAAGACUUAUCCGAUUACUUUAUGUAUAAAAUGUACGUACAAGAUUAUGUAGAAGAUUCUUUCAAGUAGUCUGGAAUAAAAAUAGGAAAUACGACGA